AACCAGACUCCUACGGGAGGCAGCAGUGGGGAAUAUUGCACAAUGGGGGGAACCCUGAUGCAGCGACGCCGCGUGGGUGAAGGAGUAUUUCGGUAUGUAAAGCCCUAUCAGCAGGGAAGAACAAUGACGGUACCUGACUAAGAAGCACCGGCUAAAUACGUGCCAGCAGCCGCGGUAAUACGUAGGGGGCAAGCGUUAUCCGGAUUUACUGGGUGUAAAGGGAGCGUAGACGGCGAUGCAAGUCUGAAGUGAAAGCCCGGGGCUCAACCCCGGGACUGCUUUGGAAACUGUAUGGCUGGAGUGCUGGAGAGGCAAGCGGAAUUCCUAGUGUAGCGGUGAAAUGCGUAGAUAUUAGGAAGAACACCAGUGGCGAAGGCGGCUUGCUGGACAGUAACUGACGUUGAGGCUCGAAAGCGUGGGGAGCAAACAGGAUUAGAUACCCCUGUAUAG
rnacentral:rRNA from 1 species